rnacentral:rRNA from 1 species
UACAGAGGUCUCAAGCGUUGUUCGGAUUCACUGGGUUUAAAGGGUGCGUAGGCGGAUUAGAAAGUCCGUUGUGAAAUCUCUGAGCUUAACUCGGAAAUUGCGGUGGAUACUAUUAGUCUUGAAUACUGUGGAGGUUAGCGGAAUAUGUCAUGUAGCGGUGAAAUGCAUAGAUAUGACAUAGAACACCAAUUGCGAAGGCAGCUGGCUACACAGAUAUUGACGCUGAGGCACGAAAGCGUGGGGAUCAAACAGG